rnacentral:rRNA from 1 species
GACGAACGCUGGCGGCGUGCUUAACACAUGCAAGUCGAACGGAAAGGCCCUGCUUGCAGGGUACUCGAGUGGCGAACGGGUGAGUAACACGUGGGUGAUCUGCCCUGCACUUCGGGAUAAGCCUGGGAGACUGGGUCCAAUACCGGAUAGGAGCCACUUUUAGUGUGAUGGUUGGAAAGUUUUUUCGGGGUUGGAUGAGCUCGCGGCCUAUUAGCUUGUUGGUGGGGUAAUGGCCUACCGAGGCGGCGACGGGUAGCCGGCCUGUGGGGGUGGACGGCGGCACAGAGUCUUAGGGGAGGCACCAGUGCCGAAUGGUGGCAGAUGGGGGGAAUCUUGCACCAGGGAUGCCGGGCUGGUGCAGCAGCGCCGCGUGGGGGAUGGCGGCCUUGUUGUUGUAGACUCCUUUCGCUAGGAACGAAGCUUUUUGUGACGGUACCUAGAUAAGAAGCACCGGCUAACUACGUG